CUAAACCAGAUGAUUCUCAGCUUGCCUUAUUUGGAAGCUGACCGGUUUAGUUACUUGCAAACCAGACUUUGGCGUCCAGGAGAGUCUCUAAUGCUACAAGAGUAUCUUAAGAACAUCUCAAGCUUCAUUUCCAGCCAUUGGAUCAGGUGGAUUCAAUCUUCCCCAUUCAUACACCAAGACUUUCCAUAUCAAGACUCAAUUGCCUUCCAUGCACUCCAACAACUAAAUACAUUUAAAAUAAUGAAGACCACGACUUUUGGGGGAUUCUACAUGGACCAGAGGCUUCUCUUACAUGGUUAUAUGAAGAAGAUUUCGAGAUAUAAAGAGGAGAGAAUAAGGUUUCCUUAUUUGGCCAAGCAUUGACUUCUAACGGUCAAAUAUCUUCCAAGAUCAUUUCCUUUUUCUUUAGUCUUUUAAUUUCGUGUAUUUUGCUUCCUUUUUUAGUGUUUAUGAACGUUAUAUGUGUCUAGAGUCGAGCCUAUAAAGCUCAAGCCAUUUGUACCAUUUAUGAAAAGAACCCUUAAUCAUCGAUUUUAAUAAACGUUAAGUUUUCUUUCAAAGACAAGUUCUUUGUGUUCCUUUUCAUUUUGAGUUUAGUGUGAGAUACACUCUUCUCUUGUGAAGCUGCGGAUCAGUUUGUUGUGUGAUUCAACAUUCUUAUUCGUUCAUUGAUUGAGUGAGUCAAUCGCAUCUAUCCAUCGUCCCAUCCCUUGAUUCACGAGAGAGUGCGUUAUAGCCAGCUCGUGAAUUCCACCUUCCGCAAGUUAAGCUUGGAAUCUCUUGAUCAUUGAGUGAUCAUAAGUUGGAUUGGUUCCAAUCUUAUAUCAUUUGGUAUCAGAGCUUCAAAAGCUCCUAUCCCCAAGGUUGUAUCUUUUCAACCUAUAUCUUUUUCGAUUUUCAAGUUUUAUUAUUUAAUUUUUUAAAUUUGAAAACCAAAUAAAAAUUUUGUUUCUUGCUUUGUUAUUGUUGAUUUGCUUCAGUACUUUCAUUUAAAAAAAAAAAAAAAAAUUAUUUGCUUCAUUUUAUUAUUUAUUUUAUAAUUAUUAUAAGAAAAAUCCAUAAAAAAAUCCUUUUUUUUAAUAAGUUUUCGGAAUUUUAUUUUUUAUAAAAUCAGAAAAGAGAAAUAAAAAUUGUUUUUCCUUUAUAUUUUCGAUUUUGAUUCAAAAAAAAAAAAAAAAAAAAAAAAAAGGCAAAAUAAAAUAUUUAUUUCCUUAUUUUUGUUUAUAAUUAUUGUUCUUGCCAUAUUUGUUGAACUACUCUUUGACACACUUUUCCUUCUUUGUGUUUGUGAGGUACGCCCCCUAAAAUUUAGAAGUGAUAAUGGAGUCAGAGGACGAGACUUACACCUACGAGGCUGAUUGGCAAGGUGAGGAAGAUAAAAGCCAAAGCUUAAUCGGAGAAGAUGAUGGCUAUGAAGGACGAUCAUGGUGUGAGGAUUACUCUAGUUCAGAAUUUGGAUAUGAACCAGAUGGAGAAGAACGUGAACCCGAACCACCAGACCCAGCCCAAGACACCACGAGCCACCAAGGUUGGUACAGAGGAGAGACUGACCAAGAGAGCAAUGCCGACGAGCCCUAUGGAGAAAAGUCAUGGUGUGAGUCCGAAGAAGAGGAGACACACCAAGAAAAUAGGCCAUGGUGCGAGAUACCUUACUCUGACCAUGAGGAAGAGCACCAAGAAGAGGACAGACCAUGGUGUGAGAUACCAUACUCUGAUCAAGAAGAAGAUCGCCAAGAGGAAACUGAUUCACAAAUCAGUUUAAAGGAAGACGAGUCACAUGGUGUAGAGACAUGGAGUCAUGAGGGUGAAUCUAACUAUGGUGAUGAGUCAGAUCGUGGGGAGGAAGAAAUAGACCACACCAAAGAUCAGCCCACACUAUGGGGUGAUGAAGAGGACUAUGAGCAACAAUAUUUAACCUUUUCAGGUUAUAGCCAAGGUACAGAAGAUUACUUACGGUGGGAAGAGGACAUGGAGGCGUGUUUUCAAUCUUGCCAAGUACCAGAGGGGGAACAACUUUCAUAUGCCCUUGACACACUCACCGGACCAGCUUAUGAGUGGUGGGAGCAAGAGGAGAAUGCCCGUGUCAAGUACAAUGAACCAGCUCAUACAUGGGGAAGUUUCAAGUUAGAAAUCUAUGAGGAGUUUGUGAAGGAAGCUGCAGCUCAACAUCAACAGGAUAUGCCAAGUUAUUCCUACACUAAGCCAAGGAGAUGGAUUCUCGCCACAACGCCAAGAGUGAAGGCUACACCUAAGAAAACCUGCAGCCCUAAGCCAAAUAAAACGUUUGCACCUAUUCUAGAGGAAAAAGGAGAGGCUAAGCUACAAACUCGAGUAAAGGCUGAACUACCAAAGUCAAUUUCCCAAGCUAUAACCUACAAGUCGAGUACAAAGUCAUUACUUAAAGCACAAGGCAACAGCAACAAAGGAGAUAUAGUUUCGAGGUCGAAACCUUUUCAAGAACAUGUUAUAGGUGCCAUAAAAGAGGACAUUUUGCUGUUAAUUGUCCAACUAGAAAAAUUGAAAAGACUAUAGAUAUAAAGAGAACAAACAUGAGCGUACCAAAGACAUAUGUGUCUUUCUUGCGGUAUAUCAGCCCAACCAGGAGGAGUUAGUCUACAAAUCAACUUAUUCAAGAAACUUAACUCAUCAAGGAAUCACGGAGAGGUGGAAUUGGUUCAAAAGCUUUCCACAUGAGGGAGAUAUUCAAGUUAAAAGUCAGCAGACUUCCAAUGAACCUGAUGGAGACCAGCAGCUACGUAUUGGAGGAUUCCGACCAGAGAAUAAGGAUUUAAGCUACGAAGUGAAUUUUCCUACAUUCUUGACUCAUCAGAGGAGCUCGUCGAAUUGGAAUCAAGUCAAAAACAAUUUUGGUUUAGAAGAUAUUAAUUUUCUAAACCAGAUGAUUCUCAGCUUGCCUUAUUUGAAAGCUGACCGGUUUAGUUACUUGCAAACCAGACUUUGGCGUCCAGGAGAGUCUCUAAUGCUACAAGAGUAUCUUAAGAAACUCUCAAGUUUCAUUUCCAGCCAUUGGAUCAGGUGGAUUCAAUCUUCCCCAUUCAUACACCAAGACUUUCCAUAUCAAGACUCAAUUGCCUUCCAUGCACUCCAACAACUAAAUACAUUUAAAAUAAUGAAGACCACGACUUUUGGG
rnacentral:lncRNA from 1 species